CUAAAGUAAAGUGAUAGACUUAAAAAGAAAGAAAAAAAGUGGGUUUUCCUAAAUUACCCCGGCCUACAACCCACAGUAUCCCCAACGUAGUUCCGCUCUUGGGUGCGGAUAUCGCACUUGUCUCUAUCGGCCACCAAAACAUUGAUGCCAUUAGAACUGCAUAUAUUUUGCAUAUGAAGACGCGUUGCAGGAAAUUCAAGGUUGAACUGCAUGCACGCCCCAAUUGCUUAUUCAUGUGACAAAUUUAGAGAAUUGAAUAAAGUCAAGAAGAAAACCCAGAAUCUUGCCAGGCAUCCUACCUGCGGCUAUUCUUCUAAGUCUUCAGUUCAAAUUAUGAAUAUGAUACAUCUCUUUCGCAUGUGGUAAAUGUGAAACACUUGCAUUCUUUUACUUUCUUUCUUCCUUGCAGAUCUUUCAAUAUAUUUUUUAGAUAACGACUGCGAUGGCAACCGCAACCGCCACCGCCACCCUUCAUGAGUUCGUUUAAAACGCAAUAUUACAUAUGAUUUUCCAUAAUAGAGGAAUAUUAAUGGCGAC
rnacentral:lncRNA from 1 species